GGGCUUAAGCGUAUUACCGAAGCUUUGGCUGCUCGUACUCCUGCGGGAGUGCGGGCGGGGUAGGGGAGCGUUGAACGCUGGGAUGAAGGUAUACGGCAACGAAUACUGGACUGCGUUCAAGUGAUUAUGCAGGAAUGAGUAACGAUCAAACAGGUGAGAAUCCUGUUCGCCGUAAACCUAAGGUUUCCUCCGCUAGGUAAGUCCGCGGAGGGUUAGGCGGGACCUAAGACGAGGCCGAUAGGCGUAGUCGAUGGACAGCCGGUUCAUAUUCCGGCCCUUCUGACCAGGUGCCCACGGAGAACGCAGACGACUAACGAGGAGGGACGCCAAGUAGGCCCUCGUAUGUAUCGGGAUUACCCUUUUGAAAGAUUGGGUGCACUCUCGGUAUGUAUCAAACGCCUUGUGCGAUAUGAGCUCGUGAUGUCACGCUGUCGAGAAAAUCCCGUCGGGAGAUAACGUGGUUAGAAACCGUACUAAAACUGACACAGGUAGGUGAGGAGAGUAUCCUCAGGUGCGCGAGAGAACUCUGGUUAAGGAACUCGGCAAAUUCACUCCGUACGUUCGCAAGAAGGAGUGCCGGCGCAAGCCGGCCGCAGUGAAGAGGCCCAACCGACUGUUUACUAAAAACACAGUUCUGUGCUAACUCGAAAGAGGAUGUAUAGGGAAUGAUGCCUGCCCGGUGCUCGAAGGUUAAAGGGAGAGGUCAGCGCAAGCGAAGCUUCGAACCCAAGCCCGAGUAAACGGCGGCCGUAACUAUGACGGUCCUAAGGUAGCGAAAUUCCUUGUCGGGUAAGUUCCGACCUGCAUGAAAGGCAUAACGAGUUGGGCACUGUCUCAACCAGAGACUCGGUGAAAUUGCAAUAUGGGCGAAGAUACCCAUUACCCGCAGCAGGACGAAAAGACCCCGUGAACCUUUACUGCAACUUGAUACUGUGUUUCUGUGAUGCAUGCGUAGGAUAGGUGGGACGCUUUGAACUUCUGGUUCCGGCUAGAAGGGAGCGGUCGGUGAAAUACCACUCUUGCAUUAUGGGAAUUCUAACCUGGCCUUUGUACGGCUGGGGACACUGUCAGGUGGGCAGUUUGGCUGGGGCGGCUUCCUCCUAAAGAGUAACGGAGGAGCACAAAGGUCAGCUCAGUACGGUUGGCAAUCGUACGUGGAGUGCAAGAGCACAAGCUGGCUUAACUGCGAGACCCAUAAGUCGAGCAGAUGCGAAAGCAGGUUCUAGUGAUCCGGUGAUCCCUGAUGGACGGGUCAUCGCUCAACAGAUAAAAGGUACUCCGGGGAUAACAGGCUGAUUUCGCCCAAGAGUCCCUAUCGACGGCGAAGUUUGGCACCUCGAUGUCGGCUCAUCUCAUCCUGGGGCUGGAGAAGGUCCCAAGGGUAUGGCUGUUCGCC
rnacentral:rRNA from 1 species